UACGAAGGGGGCUAGCGUUGCUCGGAAUUACUGGGCGUAAAGGGCGCGUAGGCGGAUCGUUAAGUCAGAGGUGAAAUCCCAGGGCUCAACCCUGGAACUGCCUUUGAUACUGGCGAUCUUGAGUAUGAGAGAGGUAUGUGGAACUCCGAGUGUAGAGGUGAAAUUCGUAGAUAUUCGGAAGAACACCAGUGGCGAAGGCGACAUACUGGCUCAUUACUGACGCUGAGGCGCGAAAGCGUGGGGAGCAAACAGGAUUAGAUACCCUGGUAGUCCACGCCGUAAACGAUGAUUGCUAGUUGUCGGGCUGCAUGCAGUUCGGUGACGCAGCUAACGCAUUAAGCAAUCCGCCUGGGGAGUACGGUCGCAAGAUUAAAACUCAAA
rnacentral:rRNA from 1 species